rnacentral:sRNA from 1 species
UGCUUCGGGAAGUACCUGCGCCGGAUA